UUAUUUUCUGUAUUAAAAGGCCUUCAGCCUUUUCCAGUCCCCAUCUUAAAAAUUUCAAAGCCAUUACUCAGUGGAAGAUUAAAACAGCUUUAGAGAUUAUGGCUACCAUUAGAGUUGGCCUGAGUCUCAUGCUGUCGAUAGCAACAUUCCUCCUGCUCGUUCUUACCUCUCGAGGCACUGCAGCCGAGGAUUUCCAUACGUGGUGUAAAAAGACAACCCACAGCGCCAAGUGUAUUGAUGUGAUCUCUG
rnacentral:lncRNA from 1 species